AUGUUCUCUGUAGCUGUGAUCCUGCUGCUGGCUGCUGCAUCCUGUGUUGAUGCUCAGACUCUGAGAGAAUCUGAACCGGUGGUUAAAAGGCCCGGAGAGUCUCACACACUGACCUGCACAGACUAUGGAUUCCUCUCUGGAUUCACAUUCAGCAGCUACAGGAUGGUUUGGGUCAGACAGGCUCCUGGAAAAGGGCUGGAGUGGAUUGCUUAUAUCAGCACAGCUAGCACUCCUAUCUAUUACUCCCAGUCAGUCCAGGGUAGAUUCACCAUCUCCAGAGACGACUCCAGCAGUAAAGUCUACCUACAGAUGAGCAGUCUGAGGACUGAGGACACAGCAGUUUAUUACUGUGCCCGAUGUGACACACAGUAAGAGGAAGUAAUAGGAGAGUCAUACAAAAACUUCUUCCCUUAGUCAUCACUACCAUUGGUAACAUACAGAGUCUUAUA